rnacentral:lncRNA from 1 species
UUUAAUUAUGUAAAUCAAUAAUCACAUUACAAUUCGAAACAAUAUAUAACAUGGGAUGGACAGAAAAUUAGUACUCAUAAUAUAUGUUGUUUUGUUUAGUGAAUAGCUAACUAUAAAUUUAGAAGAACAACACUCCACGGAUCAAACAACCAUAAAAAUUACAACUAGAAGAAUCCAAUGGUUCACCCAUCGCUACUGUUAUAAAUCUUUACGACAGAAAGUGUAGAUAACAAAUUUACAUGGCUCACAUUCAAGAACUGGUGUCCGAAUGUCAAUAUUCCGAGUACCACAUCUGCCACACGAGACAUUCUUCAUUUUAUUUUGAACAAAUGUGAGGUGGUGUUGGUGCAAAUUGUCAACUUCAAUGGUAGCCCCAAACUUGACAUUUGAGUAAACAUCAUCACGAAGGAGACAUCUAACAUGAAAGGAC